rnacentral:rRNA from 1 species
GCCCGCGACGAUGUGAGAAGUCCACUGAACCUUAUCAUUUAAAGGAAGGAGAAGUCGUAACAGGGUUUCCGUAGGUGAACCUGCGGAAGGAUCAUUG